rnacentral:tRNA from 2 species
CAGAGUAUAGCAUAUAAAAUGCUUUUUACUUACACUAAAAAUAAAGUUACUACUUGCUCUGC